GGGACAUUCAGUUCAGUUCCGUUUCUUCUCCAGAGAAGGUAAUCCGUUGAGAAUGUCCUAGAGCAUCAGAGUGGUGCUGUGCCCACCUUUUUAAAGCCAAAACGUGGCUCAUUCCACGACUGACAUUU
rnacentral:snoRNA from 1 species